CGGAAGGUCCAGGCGUUAUCCGGAUUUAUUGGGUUUAAAGGGAGCGUAGGCUGUUUGUUAAGCGUGUUGUGAAAUAGUAGGAGCUCAACUUUUAGUAUUGCAGCGCGAACUGGCAGACUUGAGUGCGCACAACGUAAGGCGGAAUUCAUGGUGUAGCGGUGAAAUGCUUAGAUAUCAUGACGAACUCCGAUUGCGAAGGCAGCUUACGGGAGCGCAAACUGACGACUAAAGCUCGAAGGUGCGGGUAUCGAACAGGAUU
rnacentral:rRNA from 1 species